rnacentral:rRNA from 1 species
AGUGAACGCUGGCGGUAGGCCUAACACAUGCCAGUCGAACGGCAGCACAGGAGAGCUUGCUCUCUGGGUGGCGAGUGGCGGACGGGUGAGGAAUACAUCGGAAUCUGCCCAGUCGUGGGGGAUAACUUAGGGAAACUUACGCUAAUACCGCAUACGACCUUCGGGUGAAAGAGGGGGAUCGCAAGACCUCUCGCGAUUGGAUGAGCCGAUGUCGGAUUAGCUAGUUGGCGGGGUAAUGGCCCACCAAGGCGACGAUCCGUAGCUGGUCUGAGAGGAUGAUCAGCCACACUGGAACUGAGACACGGUCCAGACUCCUACGGGAGGCAGCAGUGGGGAAUAUUGGACAAUGGGCGCAAGCCUGAUCCAGCCAUACCGCGUGGGUGAAGAAGGCCUUCGGGUUGUAAAGCCCUUUUGUUGGGAAAGAAAUCUUUCAGGCUAAUACCCUGGGAGGAUGACGGUACCCAAAGAAUAAGCACCGGCUAACUUCGUG